AAUACAUAUAAUUUCCUUGUGUUCUGAAUCUUUCGUUUCAUCCUUUAUAUUUGACAUGCAAAUUAUUGUAUAUUUUAGGCGAAGGUGAACAAACGCCAUCGGUUAUUUUCAGUGAAGAACAGAGUGAAUUCGUGGGGUCGAUUGCAGCAAUCCUAAAUUGGUCAGUGAAUGAAAUCGCAUUAAAAAUAAUGUUGUCUAGAGGAUUGGAUGAAGGAGUCUUCAAGAAGAAUGAAUUCACCUUGACGCAACUAAGGGACAAAGUGAAAAACCUGAGGAAGAAGCCAAUGACGAAGCUUACCUUGUAGGAUUGUUUACAGGCAGUGACUUGUGAGCAAUUAACGCCAAAAGAACGACCAUUACGUCCACGGAUAUCCAGCUGGCCAUAAACAUUUGAACAUUGUUACGUUCAACAUUUCUUUGCUGCAAUAUUUUGUGUAUAUGUUAUAUAACGAAAUAUUAAAUAAUUACCUAAAUAUGGUAACAUAUAAUGAAAUACAUAAAAAAACAUGUAUAAAUUGAAAAGGGUUAUACUUGCUCAAAUCACAACAUUUAUUUGUAACUUACUUGCUGGUGUUUCUUUUUUUGGUGGUUAACCAAGCUUUCUUUUCUGGUAUACUCUUUCCCACAGGUACAGGUGAAUCCAGUUGCUAAAUGGGUUCUUCUGUGAUUGGACAGUGCACCUGUGCCGGCAAACACUACACUGCAAACCUGGCAUCUGUAUACCUACAAAUAUUAUCUAUAAUUGGCUACUUUGCACACUGUUAAUAAAGAAAUGAACGGAUUAUAAAUGUAAAUGUAAAUAAAAAUAAUCUUCCAAAAUGUCAAUAUGUCAUCUUCAGUGACAAAUCAUCUCCUACCGAUUCCCAUGACUUGCAGUUACUUGUCAAUUUGUUUUUCUCUUUGUUAAUCAAAGAUAUUCUUUAUUGUUUGAAUUUGGGAUUAUUUUUUAUCCAUUACUGACUUUCAUUUCAUAACAGUUAAUACCUCAUUCCAGUAAUAUAAAUAAAGACAACUUACACGGGCCUUCUUUUCUGUUUUCUUCUUUUCCUGAUUAAUAAAAACAUAAACUUUAUUAGUAUCACAAUAUUUCGUUCAUAAAUACUACCCCGGACCGUAGACAACGUCAAAUUUUUAUCUCAUUGUCACGCCGGUAGGAUCAAGUGAUUCAAAUUCAUUAAAUAAUAGAAAGCGGCGUAAAUUACCUUCUUAUCUAAUUUAACAGAAAAUGCAUACUGAUAUCAUAUAUUGUACCUGGGAAUGCCUUUUCAGAAGGUGGGCACGUAGUUUUUCUUUUCUGGUGAACUCUUUCCCACAUGGAUCACAGGUAAACUUCACACCCUGAUGAAUACUCUCUACAUGGUAUUUCAACCCAGAUCUACUGGAGAACUCUUUCUGACACUGAUUGCACUGUAAUGGAAAAAUGUUAAAUGUUUUAAGUUGAUAUGCGUUCACAUAUUAUUACCACCACUUUACAUUUGAAAUAGUAAUACCGUUAUCAAACCAUAAAUCAUUUCCUUUGAAAUAAAACAUAUUAAAGUAAAAAAAUAUUAAACCACUUUAUACUAAAAAAUAGUUACAACCUUAUCAAGGUAUGGAUGAUUUUGUUCGCAAUAAAGUUAGAUUCGAUGAAAGAUGUUGAGAAAUAAAAAAAUGACU